UACGGAGGUGGCAAGCGUUGUUCGGAAUUACUGGGCGUAAAGGGCGCGUAGGCGGCUAGGCAAGUCAGGUGUGAAAGCCCCGAGCUUAACUCGGGAAUUGCAUCUGAAACUGCUGUGCUUGAGUUCUGGAGGGGGUAGUGGAAUUCCCAGUGUAGCGGUGAAAUGCGUAGAUAUUGGGAGGAACACCUGCGGCGAAGGCGGCUACCUGGACAGAAACUGACGCUGAUGCGCGAAAGCUAGGGGAGCAAACGGG
rnacentral:rRNA from 1 species